rnacentral:rRNA from 1 species
UCGUCGUGACUAGACAUCCCAGUCGAACGCUUUGUCCUUCAACUGAUUUGAAGAGCUUGCUCAGAUAUGACGAUGGACAUUGCAAAGAGUGGCGAACGGGUGAGUAACACGUGGGAAACCUACCUCUUAGCAGGGGAUAACAUUUGGAAACAGAUGCUAAUACCGUAUAACAAUAGCAACCGCAUGGUUGCUACUUAAAAGAUGGUUCUGCUAUCACUAAGAGAUGGUCCCGCGGUGCAUUAGUUAGUUGGUGAGGUAAUGGCUCACCAAGACGAUGAUGCAUAGCCGAGUUGAGAGACUGAUCGGCCACAAUGGGACUGAGACACGGCCCAUACUCCUACGGGAGGCAGCAGUAGGGAAUCUUCCACAAUGGGCGAAAGCCUGAUGGAGCAACGCCGCGUGUGUGAUGAAGGGUUUCGGCUCGUAAAACACUGUUGUAAGAGAAGAAUGACAUUGAGAGUAACUGUUCAAUGUGUGACGGUAUCUUACCAGAAAGGAACGGCUAAAUACGUGCCAGCAGCCGCGGUAAUACGUAUGUUCCAAGCGUUAUCCGGAUUUAUUGGGCGUAAAGCGAGCGCAGACGGUUAUUUAAGUCUGAAGUGAAAGCCCUCAGCUCAACUGAGGAAUUGCUUUGGAAACUGGAUGACUUGAGUGCAGUAGAGGAAAGUGGAACUCCAUGGUGUAGCGGUGAAAUGCGUAGAUAAUAUGGAAGAACACCAGUGGCGAAGCGGCUUUCUGGACUGUAACUGACGUUGAGGCUCGAAAGUGUGGGUAGCAAACAGGAUUAGAUACCCCUGGUAGUCCACACCGUAACGAUGAGUGCUAGGUGUUUUGGAGGGUUUCCGCCCUUAAGUGCCGCAGCUAACGCAUUAAGCACUCCGCCUGGGGAGUACGACCGCAAGGUUGAAACUCAAAGGAAUUGACGGGGACCCGCACAAGCGGUGGAAGCAUGGUGGUUUAAUUCGAAGCAACGCGAAGACCUUACCAGGUCUUGACAUCCCUU